CCUGUAUCUCUCUCUCUCUCUCUCUCUCUCUCUCUCUCCUCCGGUGGUGGGGGCGGGCAGGGAGGCGACGGAGAGAGAGUGGGGGGGAGAGGGAGGAGGCGACGGCGAUGGCUGCGAAGGGCGCGAUGGCGGCGCUGCUGGUGCCGCUGCUCGUCGCGGCGCUCCUGGCAUGCGUUUCUCCCCCUGGAGCGGCGGCGGUGGCGGCGGAGCAAGGAGGUGAGAUGAAUUUUUUUCCCCCCGUUUCAACCGCCGGUCCUCCUGGUUCGUCGUGCCGUCGCUGCGCCUGCGCGUGCGCGGCCCCUCGCGUGGUUCUGGACGGUUUCUUUCCUGCUUGCUUGGGAGGGGGUUCGGAGGAAGGAAAGCUGUUGGUGCGGGCGAUUGGUUGCGGCGGAUUGGAUUAGAUGAAGCAAAGCUCGGGGAUUAGAUGAACAGUUCGUAGUAAUACCGACUGCAGAAGCAGCAGAUUUCUUCCGGAUGUGAGCAUCGCCGGGGGCCACUGUAGAUUGGGGGAAGUAAAUCAGUAAUGAUAAGCUGCUACCUUUAGAGCAAUGCUUGAUGUUCUCAGUACGUCAAAUGUUGACUGUUCGUAGGCGAUGCAGAGCUUAAGCGAAGGUUGUGUGCUACCAGCCUACAACUUGCUUAUUAUCGCCUAGAGGCGGUGGUGCAGCAUAGCGGUUGAGGUGCCGUAGUAAGGGGACUAGUUUCUUGCCUGCAGCAUUGGGGAUGCGAAACUAUGCGAUAUUCUUGAAUCGAGUAGCAGGUUAUGCUUGUGUAUGCUUCUGGAAUUGGAAGCGCCAUUGGAUAUCACAGCUUUUAGUUCCAGUCUCACAUGUGGAUUUCUUCCACUUCUGUAGAUAGCUUUCACCAGUACUAAAGUGCCGGCUGGUUCGGCUUUUCUUUGCCAAUGCAGUACUCAGGAUGAAGCCUUGUGAUGGUGGUUAUCCUUAUAAUCGUACUCUUGCUCAUAUUCUUGUCGAAUAUGCAUCUGCUGUAAGUUCCCCACUUCUUCCCUGGCAAUCUUAUUAAUCCUGUUGACAACUUUGUAAAUUUGCCCAUAAUUCCUCUUUGUUCUGCGAUCUGCAAUGGACUGAUUUUGUGGCUACAAAACAGUAGGUGACUACUGAAUAGUAUCAUGAACAUCAUUAUCAACAAUUUCAGUUUCCUGAUCAUUUGUGUGCUCCACCUACACGCUAACGUGUUGCUGCUCCUCAUCAGAACUAACUGAAGAAACAUUUGUUGACAAUUUGUCAUUAAAUGUAACAGAUUCAUUGAAAACAAUGCUCCUACUCAUAAAAAUCUUUUUAGUUUCAGGAUUCCAUAACUUAUAUCCUUUUACUCCAGAACCAUAACAAAGAAAUAGACACUAAAUGGCUCUAGGUUCUAGCUUUCCAUUAUCAACAUGAGCAUAAGCAGUGCAACCAAAAACUCUCAACUGUGAAUAAUCAGCAGGCGUACCAGACCAUACCUCAAUGGGAGUUUUCUUAUUGAGUGGGAUAAAAGGCGACCUGUUUAUCAAGUAACAAGCGGUGUUAGCAGCAUCUGCCCAAAAACGCUUGUUCAUACGAGCAUUGGACAGCAUGCAACGAGCCUUCGAGAUUAUGGUUCUAUUCAUGCGCUCAGCCACACCAUUCUAUUGAGGAGUGUAUGGGAUGGUGUGGUGCCUGACAAUGCCUUCCUUCCUGCAGUAAUCAUUAAAAGCAUCCGAACAGAAUUCACCACCAUCAGUACGAAGCAAUUUUACCUUCUUUUCAGUUUGCCUUUCUAUCAUAACUUUCCGCUCCUUAAAAGCGGCAAAAAUAUCAUCUUUAUUUUUUAAAAAGUAAGGCCACACUUUUUCUAAAAUAAUCAUCAAUGAUAGUAAGCAUGUAACAAGCACCACCAUGAGAGAGCUUACGAGAUGGUCCCCACAAAUCAGCAUGUACAUAAUCAAGUGUACCUUUGCUGGUAUGAAUGGAGGCACUGAAUUUUACCAUCUUGUGCUUACUAAAAACACGGUGCUCAUAGAACUUCAUCUUACCCAAAGUGCAGCCAUCCAGCGGGUCUCUCUUGAUCAAUUGUCAUACCAAGUUCACUCAUAUGCACAAGACACAUAUGCCACAUAUUAGUCUUACUUAGUUCAUAAUUAGAAACAAUAGCAGCAGUAAUGGAACCAUGUAAAGUACUUUCUCUAAGAACAUAUAACCUUGCAGAAUUCAUAUCACCUAUCAUAUAAAUAAGAGAACAUUUUGAUACCUUACACACUCCACUUGAACUGGAGUGUUUGUACCCCUCGGAAUCAAGUGUGCUGAGGGAGAUGAGAUUUCUGGCCAUCCCUGGAAUGUGUCUCACAUCUUUCAGUGUGCUUAUAAUACCAUCAUGCAUCUUGAUCUAAACGGAGCCAAUGCCUACAAUCUCACGUGGGUUGUCAUCUCCCAUACGCACGACAUCUCCACUCUGCACAGACUCGUAAGAAUUGAACCAAUUUCUGUUACAGCAUAUAUGAAAUGAGCAUGUAGAAUCAAGUAUCCAUUCAUCAUGACCAGCAACACAACCAGCAAAAGCAACAAGACAGUCUCCUGAAUCGGAAUUAUCAGCACCGGAAACAACAAAAGCUUUACCAUCACCAUCGGAUUUAUUUUUCGAUUGAUACGUACCGUUUCUUUUCUCCUUAUUCUGCAGCUUCCAACAAUCAUCAAUGACAUGAGUUUUUUUCUUACAAUACCUGCAGAACAACUUGCCUCUGGAUUUCAAACGACCUCUACCGUUCUGCCUCUUGUCUCGAUUAUAGUUGUUGUUAUGGGUUUUCUGCUCGGACCUGCCUCUAACCUGCAAUGCUUCACCCUUGGAGGACGAUACAUCAGACUGAACCAUACCCUUCAUCUUCUCCCUCGUUUGGAGAGCCUCAUAAACUUCCGCAAGGGUUAGUUCAUCACGGCUUAAUAGUAUGGUGUCUUGAAAAUUUGCAAACAAACUAGGUAGUGAGCAUAAUAGUAGAAGACCUAAAUCUUCAUCAUCAUAUUGUACCUCCAUCGACACUAGGUCGGCAACGAUCUCCUUAAAGAUCGAUAAGUGGUUCAUCACCGAACCACCUUCUUGCAGGUUGUGCGUGAACAACUUCAUCUUCACGUACAUCUUACUGGUAAGAUUCUUGGACACGCAGAUCGAUUCCAGCUUGAGCCAAAGCUUUGCGGCAGUUUUCUCCUACAGUACUUCUUUGCAAAAUAUCAUUCGAUAGAUGAAGUUGAAUCAUAGACAGAGCCUUACGGUCCUUCCGCUUCUCAUCAGCGGUCCAUGACUCCUUCUUUCUUCUGAAACCAUCCAGAACCUCAUCAAGAUCCGAAGAUUGUGCCAGAAUUGCCCGCAUCUUGACUUGCCACAGCGAAAAUCUCAUCUUGUAGUUCAGCAGCGGUAGAUCAAACUUCAUCGAUGGAACCCUAAUCAGAAACAAGGCUCUGAUGCCACUUGUUACAAACGAUAGGCAAUAUAAAUGACGAAGAAUAGAAGAUCCAACACAGGAGACACGAGAUUUAACGUGUAAAACCUUUCCAAGAAGGAAGAGAAAAAACAACAGGCGCCAGCCAGCAAAUCUUCACUAUAUCGGGUGAGGUUAUAAACGCUAGAGAUUUACAACUUGGGAUACCCUAACCUAGGGUGCCUUUCCAUAUAGUAGUCUAUGGUGCAUCUUUUCCAUGAGGGAGGUGG
rnacentral:lncRNA from 1 species